rnacentral:lncRNA from 1 species
CAAGGAAAGAGCACAUACUUUUCAAGGCAGGCAGAAAAUUGGGAAAAGUGAUCUGUGUGAAGCAAGCAAGAACAAGGGAGAAUGAGGGAAGAGAAGGAAAGAACUGAAAAAGUGCAAAAAGAAAGGAGGGAAGGAAGGAUACCCCUGUAUGUCACAUCCACCGUGUCCCAGUUGGGCUCUGGCACCUCUACAGUGACCAGAUGUGAUGAGAUGGCUCAGGCCAGCAAGGAUUGCUUUGAGAAACUCUGGAAGGAAAGAGAAGACACUUGGAGGAAUGUAUCAUGGAACUGAUUUACAUUAAAAACUAUUACUCACACAUUUCUCCAUUUUCUGCUAGCUUAGCUUCAUCCUGGGUAAUCAGUUCACUGCAUCAGGAGUAAGAAGGCUGCCUAAAUGGGUCUUCCUACAUGGCUACUGAAAAGAUAAGCAGAAAAAACUAAACUGUAAGUGAAAGAUCUGAUUAUCGCAUGUCUUCCAUAAAUUCAAUCUGGGUUUGCAAAACUCCAUCAGAUCAAAAGAGUAAUGGUGAAGUAGUUUUUCAUAAUCCUGCCACAUCAUGAGCAGGAUUCUUAUGAAGACAGGAGGAGUUCCCAGUAGAGGGAAAAAGAACAGUGGGACCCAAGAAGAGUGGAAAAUAAGAGUUAGCUUCACUUCCCACUUUAACAGUUCCAAUGAGAAACUGUAGUUCCAAGUAAGAACAGAGAGACAAACAAUUGAAAAAGGUGAUAAUUUAAAUGAUCUACUACAAAGAUUUUGUAAAAAUAACACCAGAAUCUAUCAUCUGAGAAGAUCACUCAGUGGAACGGUAUGUAUUUGUUUUGACAAAGGAUUGGAAACAUGUUGGUAGAGCAAGCUGAAAAGUUUUGAUAGAAUCCCUUUCCAAGGGAAAACUCUAAAAUUCUUGCACGCAGAUGCUUGAACAGUAUGUACAUUAUAUUUCAAUUAUGCAGAUCUAGUUUGAAAGAUUUUGAACUAUUUUUUUCCUCUUGUCAUAACUUCCUACUUCAUUGUAAC